CGCUACCUGCAGUCGACGGUAGCACAGAGAGCUUGCUCUCGGGUGACGAGUGGCGGACGGGUGAGUAAUGUCUGGGAAACUGCCUGAUGGAGGGGGAUAACUACUGGAAACGGUAGCUAAUACCGCAUAACGUCGCAAGACCAAAGAGGGGGACCUUCGGGCCUCUUGCCAUCAGAUGUGCCCAGAUGGGAUUAGCUAGUAGGUGGGGUAACGGCUCACCUAGGCGACGAUCCCUAGCUGGUCUGAGAGGAUGACCAGCCACACUGGAACUGAGACACGGUCCAGACUCCUACGGGAGGCAGCAGUGGGGAAUAUUGCACAAUGGGCGCAAGCCUGAUGCAGCCAUGCCGCGUGUAUGAAGAAGGCCUUCGGGUUGUAAAGUACUUUCAGCGGGGAGGAAGGUGUUGUGGUUAAUAACCGCAGCAAUUGACGUUACCCGCAGAAGAAGCACCGGCUAACUCCGUGCCAGCAGCCGCGGUAAUACGGAGGGUGCAAGCGUUAAUCGGAAUUACUGGGCGUAAAGCGCACGCAGGCGGUCUGUCAAGUCGGAUGUGAAAUCCCCGGGCUCAACCUGGGAACUGCAUUCGAAACUGGCAGGCUAGAGUCUUGUAGAGGGGGGUAGAAUUCCAGGUGUAGCGGUGAAAUGCGUAGAGAUCUGGAGGAAUACCGGUGGCGAAGGCGGCCCCCUGGACAAAGACUGACGCUCAGGUGCGAAAGCGUGGGGAGCAAACGGGAUUAGAUACCCUGGUAGUCCACGCCGUAAACGAUGUCGACUUGGAGGUUGUGCCCUUGAGGCGUGGCUUCCGGAGCUAACGCGUUAAGUCGACCGCCUGGGGAGUACGGCCGCAAGG
rnacentral:rRNA from 1 species